AAAUUAAAUGAAAGGAGCUUGCUUAUGUGUCAGUGUUAUUACUUCUGACCUGGCAAUGCUUGAGCAUUAGUUUUACUCCACUCCAGUUGGACAGGUUGUACGGUGCUCUUCGCUUGGCACCUAAAACUGGCAGACUCCCCUUGGCGCA